GUGUAUACUCCUCAGGGGAUCCACCCAUUCAGCCCUCACCAGCGAAUGCGCUGUUAGGGGGCGGGGCCUGGCGGGAGGCGGUCCCUGGGGCGUGGCCUAGAAGGGUUUAUCUUCCUCCUGCUCCUCCUUCUGCCUGCUUCCUGGCCACCCUGCUGUGAGCAGCUCUCCUCCUCCCAGGCCCUUCCACCUCGCCCUUCUCCCUGGCAACCACUGACCACGGAAGAACUGGGACUUCUACAACUUACUGGAGACUGUAACGCCUGACCUGAGUGAGACCCUCUGAGCAAAGAUGCUGUUAUCAAUAAACAACAGGAAACCAUGAAAGGUUCAUGCUUUUCUCAGCACAGAUGGCCAUAAAAAAAACUGAAGACAGGACUGCAAUCUUCCCGAUGCCAAGGACUCCGUUAUCUGCUCACCUGCCUUGAACAUCCUGGGCACCUGGACCACAGCAUUCCACCCAGAUUCCUUAAGAGAGCACCCCCUCCCCAAGCCCUAUGAAACUUUGCUUCCCUCUGGCCAGUUGCUGACAUCUUUCCUGAUCUCAGCCCAUCUGCCCCCUGGUGGAGAAUAAACCAGCCUUUUGCUCACAAA
rnacentral:lncRNA from 1 species